AGGCCGGGCGGACGGGCGUCUCGCCAACCCGGUCAGGUCCGGAAGGAAGCAGCCGUAACGAGUUUCGCCCGGGUCGCAUUCAACCGGUCUCCC
rnacentral:SRP_RNA from 1 species